AUGGUCGGAACCGAAAUAUCUAGGGGGUUUGAAUCCGCAUAAAAGGGUUAGCUCUCUCUCGGUUGAUUCAGUUGCUACCGAACUUCUUCUCUGGUGGUUCUGCAAAAAAGAGCACCGUUAGCCUCGCCAAGGGGAGAAGGGGGUUCUCUCCUUGACCCGACUCCGGUGUGAGAAUAAGUAUUGGUAAUGGAGAAGAGA